UGAAGGAUUUCUAAAAGGUCUCUCCAAACAAUUGCAUUUGUCUACACCUGAGAAAAUUGCUAUUGGUCUUGCUCUGUCAGAUUCAAGAAAUACAGAUUUCAGAAUCAGAGGUAAGUUGAAUUGCUUGGAGGAAUGUAUCACACGCCCCAUGAAUGACAUGGUGUAUUUGUCCACUGUGACACUAGUGUAUUUUGUCCAUUUCUCUUUCAUUUCAUAGAUCAGAUGCACUUAUUCUUGCAUCAUAUUCUAUUACAUUGUCUUUUGGUUUUCUAAUUGAUUUUGGUGAUAGGGAAGACGAUCCAUGUCCUGAACAAAAAUGAGCAUGCUCUUGAUAUGGCUGCAGUAGUUCAGAGAUACCAACGAGCCAAAUGAUGGCAAUGCCUCAGUGAAGAAGAGAACUAAUGUGUUACUUCUUGGUGAUCGCCUUGGAGAUCUAGGAAUGUCUGAUAGUUUAAACUAUGAGAACCAAAUUGUUGUUGGAUUCUUUCUGUCCUAACUCUCAUUUACGGCGACAGUAGCAGAUCACUCAAAUCUGGUUUUCUGUGUGAAAGCUGUUUGGUUGAAAACAUUGCACAUUCUCAUGUGCAGGCAUGGGUAUUUCCAUGUGGUGAACAAUGACUACACUCACUGAGAGAUGUAUGCGAUUGGUGGAAGUGCAAAUCCCACCAUCAACAGCCAAGGCAACAGAUAUCUUGCCCCGACGAAUCGCUUUGCCAAGGAGGCACUUGUGGUGAAGCUAAGGGAAGGCACCAGGCCAAAUGCUAAUACUGGUGUUGUCACUGGAGUUCUUGCAACUGUUGGGGAGCUUCCUAGGGUGGUGGGCUUACUUCCCUAUUUUUUGGGUUAUAUUUUGAAUCACGCAGAGUGCUAUGGUACAAGUUCCAAUUUCAUCAAGUCUGAUACUUUAAAUUAGCUUGCCUUUUAUGUGGGUGGUACGGAAAGGAAUGAUGAAAAGGUUCUAUUUUGAU